rnacentral:rRNA from 1 species
UCAUCUUCGGGGGUAGAGCACUGUUUCGGCUAGGGGGUCAUCCCGACUUACCAACCCGAUGCAAACUACGAAUACCGAAGAAUGUUAUCACGGGAGACACACGGCGGGUGCUAACGUCCGUCGUGAAGAGGGAAACAACCCAGACCGCCAGCUAAGGUCCCAAAGUCAUGGUUAAGUGGGAAACGAUGUGGGAAGGCACAGACAGCCAGGAUGUUGGCUUAGAAGCAGCCAUCAUUUAAAGAAAGCGUAAUAGCUCACUGGUCGAGUCGGCCUGCGCGGAAGAUGUAACGGGGCUAAACCAUGCACCGAAGCUGCGGCAGCGACACUAUGUGUUGUUGGGUAGGGGAGCGUUCUGUAAGCCUGCGAAGGUGACCUGUGAGGGUUGCUGGAGGUAUCAGAAGUGCGAAUGCUGACAUAAGUAACGAUAAAGCGGGUGAAAAGCCCGCUCGCCGGAAGACCAAGGGUUCCUGUCCAACGUUAAUCGGGGCAGGGUGAGUCGACCCCUAAGGCGAGGCCGAAAGGCGUAGUCGAUGGGAAACAGGUUAAUAUUCCUGUACUUGGUGUUACUGCGAAGGGGGGACGGAGAAGGCUAUGUUAGCCGGGCGACGGUUGUCCCGGUUUAAGCAUGUAGGCUGGUUGUCCAGGCAAAUCCGGAUAAUCAAGGCUGAGGUGUGAUGACGAGGCACUACGGUGCUGAAGUAACAAAUGCCCUGCUUCCAGGAAAAGCCUCUAAGCAUCAGGUAACAUCAAAUCGUACCCCAAACCGACACAGGUGGUCAGGUAGAGAAUACCAAGGCGCUUGAGAGAACUCGGGUGAAGGAACUAGGCAAAAUGGUGCCGUAACUUCGGGAGAAGGCACGCUGGUGUGUAGGUGAAGUCCCUGCGGAUGGAGCUGAGACCAGUCGAAGAUACCAGCUGGCUGCAACUGUUUAUUAAAAACACAGCACUGUGCAAACACGAAAGUGGACGUAUACGGUGUGACGCCUGCCCGGUGCCGGAAGGUUAAUUGAUGGGGUUAUCCGUAAGGAGAAGCUCUUGAUCGAAGCCCCGGUAAACGGCGGCCGUAACUAUAACGGUCCUAAGGUAGCGAAAUUCCUUGUCGGGUAAGUUCCGACCUGCACGAAUGGCGUAAUGAUGGCCAGGCUGUCUCCACCCGAGACUCAGUGAAAUUGAACUCGCUGUGAAGAUGCAGUGUACCCGCGGCAAGACGGAAAGACCCCGUGAACCUUUACUAUAGCUUGACACUGAACAUUGAGCCUUGAUGUGUAGGAUAGGUGGGAGGCUUUGAAGCGUGGACGCCAGUCUGCGUGGAGCCAACCUUGAAAUACCACCCUUUAAUGUUUGAUGUUCUAACGUUGGCCCCUUACCGGGGUUGCGGACAGUGUCUGGUGGGUAGUUUGACUGGGGCGGUCUCCUCCCAAAGCGUAACGGAGGAGCACGAAGGUUAGCUAAUCCUGGUCGGACAUCAGGAGGUUAGUGCAAUGGCAUAAGCUAGCUUGACUGCGAGCGUGACGGCGCGAGCAGGUGCGAAAGCAGGUCAUAGUGAUCCGGUGGUUCUGAAUGGAAGGGCCAUCGCUCAACGGAUAAAAGGUACUCCGGGGAUAACAGGCUGAUACCGCCCAAGAGUUCAUAUCGACGGCGGUGUUUGGCACCUCGAUGUCGGCUCAUCACAUCCUGGGGCUGAAGUAGGUCCCAAGGGUAUGGCUGUUCGCCAUUUAAAGUGGUACGCGAGCUGGGUUUAGAACGUCGUGAGACAGUUCGGUCCCUAUCUGCCGUGGGCGCUGGAGAAUUGAGGGGGGCUGCUCCUAGUACGAGAGGACCGGAGUGGACGCAUCACUGGUGUUCGGGUUGUCAUGCCAAUGGCACUGCCCGGUAGCUAAAUGCGGAAGAGAUAAGUGCUGAAAGCAUCUAAGCACGAAACUUGCCCCGAGAUGAGUUCUCCCUGAGACUUUAAGUCUCCUGAAGGAACGUUGAAGACGACGACGUUGAUAGGCCGGGUGUGUAAGCGCAGCGAUGCGUUGAGCUAACCGGUACUAAUGAACCGUGAGGCUUAACCUUACAACGCCGAAG